rnacentral:sRNA from 1 species
AUUAACUGGUUCGAAAGAAUAUAAAGGAGCUGCUACAGAAUUAUUCAAUUAUGUUAUUGAUGUAGUUAAAGCACGUGGUGCAGAAGUUAUUUUAACGGACACCUUUGCGUUAAACAAACCUGCACAAGGU